rnacentral:rRNA from 1 species
UACGUAGGUGGCGAGCGUUGUCCGGAUUUACUGGGCGUAAAGGGAGCGUAGGCGGAUUUUUAAGUGAGAUGUGAAAUACUCGGGCUCAACUUGAGUGCUGCAUUUCAAACUGGAAGUCUAGAGUGCAGGAGAGGAGAAUGGAAUUCCUAGCGUAGCGGUGAAAUGCGUAGAUAUUAGGAGGAACACCAGUGGCGAAGGCGGCCUGCUGGACGGUGACUGACGCUGAGGCUCGAAAGCGUGGGGAGCAAACAGG